rnacentral:other from 1 species
AACUUCCUGGGUUGUUCGCCGGUCGGAGACGUCCUCGAGCCGAUGCGCAAUACCCAGGUGGCCACUUCAGGGCAUUGUGAGCAUGUCCCCCGCGGGGGAAAGCCUAAUCUGCCACAGCGGCCACCAACCUUGAACCUUGGGUUCAAGGGCUACAUCCGAUAACGGCAACCCGGGAAGCUU